rnacentral:rRNA from 1 species
AACGUAGGUUCCGAGCGUUAUCCGGAUUUACUGGGCGUAAAGCGCGUUCAGGCGGUUUGGCAAGUCGGGCAUGAAAUCUCUCGGCUCAACCGGGAGAGGUUGUCCGAUACUGCUGGACUUGAGGGCAGUAGAGGGUGGUGGAAUUCCGGGUGUAGUGGUGAAAUGCGCAGAUAUCAGGAGGAACACCGGUGGCGAAGGCGGGUCUCUGGGCCGAUACUGACGCUGAGGAGCGAAAGCGUGGGGAGCAAACAGG